rnacentral:rRNA from 1 species
UACGUAGGGGGGCAAGCGUUGUCCGGAAUCAUUGGGCGUAAAGAGCUCGUAGGCGGCUCAGCAAGUCGGGUGUGAAACCUCCAGGCUCAACCCUGGAGACGCCACCUGAUACUGCUGUGGCUAGAGUCCGGUAGGGGAACACGGAAUACCCGGUGUAGCGGUGAAAUGCUUAGAUAUCGGGUGGAACACCAGUGGCGAAGGCGGUGUUCUGGGCCGGAACUGACGCUGAGGAGCGAAAGCGUGGGUAGCAAACAGG